GUACUCACUGUGGCACUACGUAUUUUAGAAGUGGAACAAUACAGAGCAGAUUAUCAUGCUCCCUGUGCAAGGGUGACAAACAAAUUCAUGAAGCUGUUGUAGCAUCC